rnacentral:misc_RNA from 1 species
UCAGAUACAUUCUCAACGAUCCUCUCCAAUUUGACUUUGCCAAAUCUUGUAGUAUAACUUCAUAUAAACAAUCAAGAGGCUGAUCUUAUAACUAAGAGAAUUGUGCUUGUGAAAUAAAAGAGUUCUCACUACAUAAAGUCUUUGGGAGACAUUAAAAGGGGGAUAUGACUAGAAAAUAGAAAGGAAAGAAAGCUUAUAUAACAACAACGCCAAUAAUAAGAACAGUAAUA